AUGAAGUUGAUACAGUGAAAGGUGGGAUAUGAUAGCUCCCAAAUCACGGAUCAUGACUAUGAAUUAAGGAAACUAGAUGAAUUUUAGAAAUCUUUAUGAUGUGAGCUUGCCUAAUUUGGUUAGUAGAUAUUGCAGAGAUAAGAAAGAAAAAAGAGAUUAAAAAAAGUUUUGUAGCAAAUUCAUUGGGCACCCAACUUAAACAUUUAACCAAUUUUUCAUAUACAGUCUUGAAACAACCUAGAGAUGGAAGUUUCACUUGUCAGUUCAUGUAUGUAGUAUCAUAAUGGGUCAACUGAUGUUAUUGUGUUGAUUUAGUAUUUAAUACUUUAAAUAAGAAAUAGGAGGCAAUAGCUUGUAUUGUCUCAACCUGCACAGAAAAGGUUUUGAAACCUAAUAUAUUAGCUAUUGCUUAAAACAAUACAUUAUCUCAUGUAUUCUGUGUCAUGAGUCGAGGAAUAAUUUAGUUAGCGUCCCGUUUAGAGUUUAACAAAGCUGCAAUCAAUAUGUUAGCCAGAGUACUAGUCUCAUCUAAGGCUCAACUGGAGAAGGAACUUCGUUUAAGCUCAUGUGAUUGUUGGCAAAAUUCAGUCUUCUUGCAGGUUAUCGCACUGAGCGUUAUGACUUUUUUACCAGCUGCUGGACAGAGGCCACCCUCGGUUGUCAUGUGGCCCUCUCCAUAUUCUAACUCACAAGAUGCUCCGACCUCCCGCCUGGGCGCCCCAGUGGCGCGAACCAGAGUGCGCCUGCGCGCGGGCCACAAGGCGCUUGCAGCUGGGAGAAGCGCGGCCACACUGAGAGUCACGUGGUGCGGUAUGCUGGGAAGCCGCCCCGCCUCUCCAAGACUUCCCUGCCGCGUCCCGCCCCGCCCCUUUCCCGGCGGGAAGGUCUGAGCCGCUCUGAACUGCGAACUGCGCAGGGUGGCCAGGGGCUAGAACAAACUCACGAGUCUGACCUAAACUCAAAGGGAGAAGAGUAUGCAAGAGCCAAAGCAUGAGAUGGAAACCAUGGGGCCAUCUUUGAGUCUGUCUGCCGCAGAAAGAUGAACACAAAUCCUAUGUCUCCUUUCAUAUGACCUGCCCCUGGACGAAAGGUUGAAGAUAUGGACAAGGAAGCCCUAUCCUCAUCUGGCCCACGGCAUAGUUGAAGACAUUGAGUACUGAGCUAAUCCAAUACACUAUUAAGAGGAUUUUCAUGGUGGAAACUUGCAGUAAUGGGAACACGUGGAUGGUGCUUCAGAAUCACCGGGAGGGACUGUUAAAACUCCCUUGCCAAGCAUCAUACUUGAGGCCUGUGACUUGGUAGGUCUGUGGUGGUGAAGCCCAAGAGUUUUCUUUCUAACAAGUCCCGGAUGAUGUUGAUGCUGCUGAUCUAGUCACCAGAUUUGAGAACCGCUCUUCCCAGCAUUAUUUUAAGCAUUUUCAAGAUUGCAAAAUACGUAUAAAGUUUACCAUUGUAACCAUUUU